GAUGAAGAACGUAGCGAAAUGCGAAAAGUAAUGUGAAUUGCAGAAUUCAGUGAAUCAUCGAAUCUUUGAACGCACAUUGCGCCCGCCAGUAUUCUGGCGGGCAUGCCUGUCUGAGCGUCAUUUCAACCCUCAUGCCCCUAGGGCGUGGUGUUGGGGAUCGGCCAGCGCCCGCGAGGGACGGCCGGCCCCUAAAUCUAGUGGCGGACCCGUCGUGGCCUCCCCUGCGAAGUAGUGAUAUUCCGCAUAGGAGAGCGACGAGCCCCUGCCGUUAAACCCCCAACUUUCUAAGGUUGACCUCAGAUCAGGUAGGAAUACCCGCUGAACUUAAGCAUAUCAAUAAGCGAGGA
rnacentral:misc_RNA from 1 species